rfam:Ictidomys tridecemlineatus contig005305, whole genome shotgun sequence.
GGGGUUGUAGCUCAGUGGUAGAGCGCUUGCCUAGCAAGUGUUAGGCACUGGGUUUGAUCCUCAGCACCA